rnacentral:lncRNA from 1 species
AGGCGGGGGAAGGGAAACACCAAUUCACUUUGUGUCUUCAGCUGCCUUGACAUUUUUUUCCCUUGAAACUUUUCAUCUCUGCUUUGAGCGCACUUAGACAGAGCUGAGCUUUCUUUAGUCUCCAGAGCUCACAGAGAUUAAUCUUGGUCGUGAUUUUCACCAGUUUUGUGGUAAGAUCCUUCUGUGUGUUGUCUGCUUCUUGCUCCUGCCUUGGCCCUAUUGAUUCGAGUCUUUGUGUAAAGAUCCUCGCAGUUUCUUAUUCAGUUCUCUCUCAGCUUUGAAUGUGGACACCUUUUCCUGCAAGGGCUGACACACACAUUUCCAAUGGACAACGUCUGAAUUAUACUCUCUUCAAGGGGCGCCACUCUUACGGAGUAUCAUCUUGAAUAGUGUUUCCUGGGGACCUGCUGCUUAGACAAUGGUUGGCUGCAAUACCUAUGGGUAGGCACCGGAGUAGUGAGCCCCACCUCUACCCGAAUCCCUCUGAUCCCUACAGGGUUCCUAAAUGGUUCUUAUGUAGGGUGGUUCAGUCUUUCCUUCUCUGCAGAGAAAAAGAUCUACACUGGGGUUGCUCAUCAAUGGCAGCUCUUCCUCUACCCAUGGCCCAGUGGCAAGACAGUGGGUCUAGAAGAUUCUCCCCUUGCUCCAUUACUCCUGCCUCUCUUUAGUUUGAAAUGGAGCCCAAGGGAGCUCAGAUGGCUGAGCUGUACAAAGCCUUUAAUUUUUAAAAACUAUGUUUGUUUAUUGCGCGUGUGGGCCCCUGCAUGGACUAUGUUUGUUUAUUGCGCGUGUGGGCCCCUGCAUGGAUGGAAUUGCUCCUCUUCUCCAGCCUUGUGGGUCCUGGGGAUGGAACGCAGAUCAUUGAGUUUGGCACCAUGAGGGACCUCUUACUUGUGGAGCUAUCUUGCUGGAACGUAAAGCCUUGUUUUAAGCAAGGUACUUCAUUUUGCAUCUUGGCAUCGCAAGAGUGCAUAUUGCAUGUGUGUGUGUGUGUGUGUGUGUGUGUGUGUGUGUGUGUGUGUGUGUGUUGACUCUUCGCUCUGAAUGCCCUAUGUAAUCUCAAGGAUCAUCCCUGCAGAAGAUGGCCUAACUCCCUACACAGGGAGGCUCAGGAUGGAGGCAGCUUAGCCAUUUGGUCAAGAUACGAUUUCCUUUUCUAUUUACGUUCAGAUGACAAGUGAGUGCUUAUUUUGCUCUCACAAAAAUGCUGCAGUUGUCCACAGUUCAGUUCAUGUAUGUUUAAGUGUGCCUAUAAACUGAACUCCCAGCACUGGGAUGCCAGCUAAGAGUCUGUAUAAUUGUAACUUGUCCUUUAGAGGCUCCAAUGUAUACUUUCACCAAUAAAUACACCCAUCUCCCAGUUCUUGCCAGCACCAUGGUUUGGCCUACAUUUUGGUCUGUAGCAUUCUAAGAUGUUAUAAAAUGGAAUGUCAGCAUAGUAUUUGAAAACCACAUUUUUUUUCCUUUGCAUAUGUUAAGGAGUUGCUUGUCUUAGUAUUUUCCUUCUGUUUUCCUUCCAUAAACUGUUUCUCUGUUGGCCUAUUUCUCUAUGGGGUAAUUUUGGUCAUUACCUUAUUGAUUUGCAGGAUAUUUUUAUAUCAGGACAUCAGCCAUUUGUGAUAUGAAUUGCAAAUAUUUUGUCACUGGCCUUUUGACUUUGCUCAGAGUGGUUACUGCUGUUCUGUGGUUUCUCUGUUUUAUGAGGAAAAGAUCUGUAUGUUGCAAAGGGGUCUUUAUGGUCAUUGUUCAUGGCAAAAUAGGGAAGAGAAUGAAUUCCUCAACAUCUUGAGCACAGCAUAAAGAUCAGCUUGUAUUGGAAAAGCCAGCUUGGGUCAGGUAGGAGGAGAAAGGGGAGGAGUCUCAUUUCCUCAUCUUACACAGGCACAUACCAGGACGCAGGCAGUCGGCUGGGUACAGAGUGGGUGUGGGCUUAGUGGGUGAGUCCUCUCUUCUCCCCAUUCUCUUCCUUUUUACAGCACGGUCAUAAAACAACCUGUGGGAGGAUAAUCAAACUACCUGUACCACGAAGUCUCCGUGUGGCUUUUAUGAUUAUAACUAUUUACAGGAAUUGUCUAGGAACUCCAGCCACUCAGAAUUUGGGGGACUUUGGUACCAGAAAGAAGUUGCAUAAUCAAAACUGAAGAAGAUAAUAUGUGCAAAUCUUACUCCUUUAUGGCCAGAGGUUCGACAAAUUUUACUUAAAGGAAAUAAAUCAGAUAACAGAGGUAUAAUACACUUGGUAGUACUAGAGAAAACUGACUGAUGUAACCUCCAAACUGGGGUUAGGUUCUUGGUUACAACAGUAAAACCCAUACUAACUAGCCCAUAAUGUGGUAUCAGAGACUGAGGUAGUUUAUUAAGUAGCUCAUAUAAGCACAGAAGCUGGAGAAACAGGCUCCAGGCUGAGCUUCUGGUAACAACCCUCAGACCUACACUGUGCAACUGGCCUGGUGAGAAGUUUCCUCUAAGCUAAGAGCGGCCACCUCCCAUUGCAGAAGUGUCUACUCAGGUUGCUGUGCUCCCACACUGCUGCCUGUUCUCCCUUUGGUCUAGCUGGUAUCCCUGCCUUGGUCUCGAGCCAGCACCUCCAGUUGGGUGCUUCUUUCUGCCUGAUCAGUUGGGUUUCUCAGACUGUGGAGUUGCUCAUCAAUGGCAGCUCUUCCUCUACCCAUGGCCCAGUGGCAAGACAGUGGGUCUAGAAGAUUCUCCCCUUGCUCCAUUACUCCUGCCUGACUCUCUUUAGUUUGAAAUGGAGCCCAAGGGAGCUCAGAUGGCUGGUCCCACAUUGCUAGGUCCCACGUUGGAGGCUCUGUGUCCCACAGUCUGUCAAUCAAUUUGUCCUUUGGAUACACAAAGACAACUUGAAAUGGGUGAAACUAUACAUGGUAAGAGCUUGUCCAAAGGCUGAAGACUCACAGAGGCAACUGGUAUAUCAUUCAUGAGUUCACCAGUACAGCUUCUCUCGGAGUUGCUCUCCUGCCCAGGUCCUCUCCAAACCACCCACACGUGAAGCCGUUCAAUGUACUAGAUAGUGUGCUAAAGGGGAAGGGAUACAAAGAUAAAACAUGGGAAAAAAAGAUUU